UGUGUAUUAAAAGCGUAUUAAAUGCGUCUAUUUUGAAAAAAAUUGCUUUCAAGCACAUACAUAAUUUAUCAGACUGUCGUACGUGUGAGUGACUGUUAGAAAAUAGAUACUAAAAUCGCGGUACGUGUCGACGCGUCACGUUCAGUGAUCUCAAUAUGAUAAUUGAACGGCGACGUUGAGUAACUAAAAAUACAAUAAAAUUAACUGUAAGCGGGGUUAAUAAGAAUCGUAACAUUCAAAGGUCUGAACUCGCGGAACGAAGCUGUUUGAUUAUUUUUAAACAGCUGUUCACGGUUGCGGAUCCUGGCUCUCUCUCGUUUCCUCUCUCUCUCUUUCAUGGAAAUUUUCUCUCGGCCUGGCUACUUGAACAUACAAGGUCCGAACAGCGUUAUACAGUGUAACAACGAACCAUUGCUUUCUAAGAAGAAAUGACCGUAAUUACUGUAACUUUUCAAUAUCUCGUAGACUUCCGUUGGUUCACGUAGAAUUCGGUCUUUUUGUUGUCGACGAUCAAUAGCACACAUAAAAAGUGUUUACACUUUUGAAAACUUGAAACAGUAGAGUUCGCGCGAUUUUGAAAAUCACAGCAAGGCACCGUCGACUGCAUCCACCUGCCACGAAGUAGUUCCGUAAUGAAAACACAGUAUGAAAAACAAAUCAAUUAGCGAUUAUAGAUCGAUUGCUUGUAACUAAGAUGGUUGAUAAACCAGCUACGUGAUAUCAAACAAUAGCGUGACUUGUCAGUAAUCAAAGGUCACACCGCCGCAAGUAGAUUCAUGAUCGCCAUCCUUGAAUUAUUUCAAGCAUCCAGACGUGAGGUCAUUUUGAGCGAUAUUUAUGGAAUGCCUUGCGACGUGAGCGCCGUUUUAAAAAUUGAAUCGCUAUUUCUCACGUUCGGUUCACCCUCGUGUUUUAGUCUCAAGUUUGUAUUGCGUAAUCUAGUCGGCCGUAAAGUGUAAAACUCAAACACUAGGCAGUGGAUAUAUGUGACUUUUUUCUCACGUACGCAGAACAGAUUUGCAUUUACCUUUCAUGUAGUAAACGAUGUUGGGUACAUAAAUCGCGAUGUAUCGGAAGAAGGGUAAAUGUGAAGAAAAAUAUUCAAAAAAUGUUCUAUUUUGAAGCGUGGUCAAUUAAAGAAGUUUUGAUCAAUAUGGCGACCAAUCACGACACGUUUUCGAUCGUGGUCAUGAGCCCUUGCUGCGGAUCACUUACGGACAAAUGUAUUCAUUUGUCGUGUUUUAAUAAAUUAUUGUUUUGAUAAA